rnacentral:rRNA from 1 species
AUGGCUGGAGCACAGCCGGUGAACUUGAGACCGUAUAGGCACAAGCCUGAAUAUAAAGAUGAGAUUGAAAAGCAAGUACAGGAGAUGCUGAAGUCAGGUGUGAUUCAGCGCAGCCACAAUCCAUUCUCUUCACUUGUGAUCUUAGUCAAGAAGAAGGAUGGCACUUGGCGGCUAUGCAUAGAUUACCGGCAGCUCAACGCCAUGACCAUCGUGGGCAAGUACCCUGUGCCCAUAAUAGAAGAGCUACUAGAUGAACUGCACGGGGCUAAGUGGUUCUCAAAGCUUGAUUUGAGGGCAGGAUACCACCAAAUUCGACUGGCUGAAGGAGAGGAAUUCAAGACUGCCUUUCAAACCCACUCGGGACAUUUUGAAUUCAAGGUGUUGUCGUAUGGUCUGGCUGGUGGACCUGCGACUUUCAAC